CCUACGGGAGGCAGCAGUAAGGAAUAUUGGACAAUGGACGCAAGUCUGAUCCAGCCAUGCCGCGUGAAGGAUUAAGGCCCUCUGGGUUGUAAACUUCUUUUAUAGGGGACGAAAAAAGGGCUUUCUAGCUCGACUGACGGUACCCUAUGAAUAAGCACCGGCUAACUCCGUGCCAGCAGCCGCGGUAAUACGGAGGGUGCAAGCGUUAUCCGGAUUCACUGGGUUUAAAGGGUGCGUAGGCGGGCAUUUAAGUCAGUGGUGAAAUCUUCGAGCUCAACUCGGAAACUGCCAUUGAUACUAUUUGUCUUGAAUAUUGUGGAGGUGAGCGGAAUAUGUCAUGUAGCGGUGAAAUGCUUAGAUAUGACAUAGAACACCGAUUGCGAAGGCAGCUCGCUACACAAAUAUUGACGCUGAGGCACGAAAGCGUGGGGAUCAAACAGGAUUAGAUACCCUGGUAGUCCACGCCCUAAACCUAUGGAUACUCGACAUUUGCGAUACACAGUAAGUGUCUGAGCGAAAGCAUUAAGUAUCCCNCCNGGAGACGACGCGAGUAGAAGUAAUAGAGUGAGNGNGAGAGNGCGAGACGACGACGAGGGAGAGG
rnacentral:rRNA from 1 species